rnacentral:rRNA from 1 species
GAUAAACGCUGGCGGCGUGCCUAACACAUGCAAGUCGAACGCCCUUUUGCGCAAGUGAGAGGGAGUGGCGGACGGGUGAGUAGCACGUGGGUACCUACCUUGAGGUGAGGAAUACCACCGAGAAAUCGGUGACAAGACCGCAUGUCUUCGGCACCGAAGAAAGUCUCGCAAGAGACGCCACAAGAUGAGCCUGCGCCUGAUUAGCUGGUUGGUGAGGUAACAGCUCACCAAGGCAACGAUCAGUAGCUGGUCUGAGAGGAUGAUCAGCCACACUGGGAUUGAGAACGGCCCAGACUCCCGUACGGGGGGCGA